rnacentral:ribozyme from 14 species
GAGAGAAUGGAAUAGAAUGGAAGAGAACGAAUCCAAUAUGAUGGAUGAUAUGUUUUUAUCGUUCUUGUUGUUCUUCUUCUUCUUCUUUUCCUUC